GACGAACGCUGGCGGCGUGCUUAACACAUGCAAGUCGAACGGAAAGGCCCUGCUUUUGUGGGGUGCUCGAGUGGCGAACGGGUGAGUAACACGUGAGUAACCUGCCCUUGACUUUGGGAUAACUUCAGGAAACUGGGGCUAAUACCGGAUAGGAGCUCCUGCUGCAUGGUGGGGGUUGGAAAGUUUCGGCGGUUGGGGAUGGACUCGCGGCUUAUCGGCUUGUUGGUGGGGUAGUGGCUUACCAAGGCUUUGACGGGUAGCCGGCCUGAGAGGGUGACCGGCCACAUUGGGACUGAGAUACGGCCCAGACUCCUACGGGAGGCAGCAGUGGGGAAUAUUGCACAAUGGGCGGAAGCCUGAUGCAGCUACGCCGCGUGCGGGAUGACGGCCUUCGGGUUGUAAACCGCUUUCGCCUGUGACGAAGCGUGAGUGACGGUAAUGGGUAAAGAAGCACCGGCUAACUACGUG
rnacentral:rRNA from 1 species